AUUGAACGCUAGCGGCAGGCCUAACACAUGCAAGUCGAACGAGCGGAGGACGGGGGAGUAAUGUAUGGGAAACUGCAUGAUGGAGGGAGAUAACUACUGGAAACGGUAGCUAAUACCGCAUACCAUCAGAUGGGCCAAGAUGGGAUUAGCUAGUAGGUGGGGUAACGGCGCACAUAGGCGACGAGCCCUAGCUGGUCUGAGAGGAGGACCAGCCACACUGGAACUGAGACACGGUCCCGACUCCUACGGGAGGCAGCAGUGGGGAAUAUUGCAAAAUGGGCGCAAGCAUGAUGCUGCCAUGCCGCGGGUGUGAAGAAGGCCUUCGGGUUGUAAAGCACUUUCAGCGGGGAGGCGUUACCCGCAGAAGAAGCACCUGCUAACUCCGUGCCAGCAGCCGCGGUAAUUC
rnacentral:rRNA from 1 species